GAGAAUGGGACGGUGGUUCAGAUCUGCUGAUGUAGCUGUGGUCAGUCACUGGGGAGAAUAGGCCUGUGGAUUUCUGCUCCUCUGAGAUGGAUCCAUCACUGACUACUGAACUUGUUUUCUCAUUGGCUCAACUUAAGAAGGUUCUAGAGGGAACUGACUUCUUCCUCCUCAUGGUCCACUUGAAAUUCCAGGAAAAGGAACAGAUGUGCAAGGAAUUGCAGCCUGGAGAAACAUAGUGUAUUUGGAGACUUGCAUGUAAAUGGAUAAGUAGGUGUAGGAGGAGAAGCUGGGUCACAUUUUCCUAAAUUUUAUUCCACAAAACACUAGUUCUGUGAGACGCUCUAUGGAAAUUGGUCCCAUGAUCAGUACAUUUGGGGCAUGCUGCAUGUUGUAUUCCCUGUUGUCUUAUAUUGGAUUUCCUAAAAAUAGACUCUGAGGUGGAGACUUAUGUGCAGAAGGUCUCUUGGCGAAUGCUCCAGGGAGGCGUGCGUGUAAGGAAGUGAGACAGACCCACCUCAGGCCCCUGGGACUUCCACUGGCCAGACGCCCUGUGCCUACUUGUGUCAUGGGAUACAGGGCCCAUCUCUUCCCAUCUCCACACUCUGACCACACGCUAGUAGCUUGAAAUCAGCCAUGGUGCAACUAUUGGCAUCACAAAAAUGGACAAAUGCUUCAAACUGGGGCCUGACUUAUUGUUUUGUUGAUUGCCAGGCUUAAAAAGUGAUGGAAAGGAUGCUAAUAAUGCAUAUUAAACCAAAAAAGUGCGUCAUGUCUGUAGCUGUGACAUUGUGAAUAGCACAAGCAUUGAGGUUACAUGCUUCUGAUAUUUGAAAACCCUUAUUGGAUUCAACAAAGAAUUCACUCAUGUCAUUGUCUAUCAGGUGAAGCUCUGAUGCACAUUUUUUGCUUUCACUUUUGCCUUAUUCAUUAAUAUAAACAGAAUGUCAAUCAACCUUCAUGUUGUGUCUACGCUCAAUCAUCCCUGAUGACCCUACGCUGACUACAGAUGCAGAAUUCAGCAAAAACCAAUGAAAGCAUUCGGUGAGAAUCAAUGGCUAUAUGGAGCUUACAAUAAACCGUA
rnacentral:lncRNA from 1 species